rnacentral:rRNA from 1 species
UACGUAGGGAGCGAGCGUUGUCCGGAUUCAUUGGGCGUAAAGAGCUCGUAGGCGGCUUGAUAAGUCGGAUGUGAAACCUCCAGGCUCAACCUGGAGUCGCCAUCCGAUACUGUCAUAGCUAGAGUCCGGUAGGGGCCCACGGAACUCCUGGUGUGAGCGGUGAAAUGCGCAGAUAUCAGGAAGAACACCGAUGGCGAAGGCAGAUGGCCUGGGCCGGUACUGACGCUGAGGAGCGAAAGCGUGGGGAGCGAACAGG